rnacentral:piRNA from 1 species
UCCUGUUUCAGUGCUACAACAGAAUGUGAG